GACGAGCGCUGGCGGCGCGCCUAACACAUGCAAGUCGAGCGAUGAAAUUUUAACCGAUCUCUUCGGAGAGAAGAUAAAAUGGAUUAGCGGCGGACGGGUGAGUAACACGUGAGAAACCUGCCUUUCACAAGGGGAUAGCCUCGGGAAACCGGGAUUAAUACCCUAUGACACAUUUCCUUCGCAUGGAAGAAAUGUUAAAACUCCGGUGGUGAAAGAUGGUCUCGCGCCUGAUUAGCUAGUUGGUGGGGUAACGGCCCACCAAGGCCAUGAUCAGUAACCGGCCUGAGAGGGUGAACGGUCACAUUGGAACUGAGACACGGUCCAAACUCCUACGGGAGGCAGCAGUGGGGAAUAUUGCACAAUGGAGGAAACUCUGAUGCAGCGACGCCGCGUGAGCGAUGAAGGCUUUCGAGUCGUAAAGCUCUGUCCUAUGGGAAGAUAAUGACGGUACCAUAGGAGGAAGCCCCGGCUAACUACGUG
rnacentral:rRNA from 1 species